rnacentral:misc_RNA from 1 species
GAGGCACCCUUAUUGAGUGUCAGGUAUUCAUUAUCUGUUAAAACCCAUCAUAUCCCAAAGUAUUUAUUUUUCUAAGACUUGUUAACAUAUUAAUUAUUUUGUAACUCGUGUUCUGUCAAAAUUAUUCAAUGUCUUGCCCUUACUGUGUUAGUUGUUUUAUGUAACCAUUGUAACUUGUAGAAGAUAGCAUUUGCUUCUUAUAUCAUAUUUCUUUUCUCUUCAAAUAAUGUUUUUACAUUAAUUCCUUUCUUUCUUCCCUAACUUUCAUGUCAAAAGCUGUUUCCUUGAUCGAAUUCUACUGAUAGAUUCUUGUAGUUUUGAAUUACCUUUAACAAUUUGUGGUGUCAAAUCUGCCACUUAUCUCAUAAUGCAAGUUUAAAUUCUGAAACAAACAUCAGACACACAUUCAAGGAAAUGCUGAAUGGGGUAAAACCCAUUCUGAUGAAUAUUCCAGAAGUUUAUUGUUGGGUUCCUUUCAUUAUUUCUAGCUGGCUGCCUGAAAGUUUCAACAGAGCAUUGGCAGUCACUUUGUUGAAAAACUAAUAAUAAUAUAAGUUUAUAAUGAUAUUAAUAGCAAUACAAACUGUCUAGGAAAUACACAGGAGCUAGUCUUGUGUUUUCUAAUUUCUAGAAUUGGAAAAUGUUUUGGGGCAGGUCCUCAAGGUAGCUUAGAUUAUUAAAAUGUACAGCCUAUUGUACAAAUAGCAUGUAUGAAAUGAAGGCAGUUUUCUAAGGGGUGAGAAGGAAAAGUUGGUGAAUUUCUAAUUAUGCAAUACAUAAUUCAAUCUCAAUUGGUUGUUAUUGACUCCUGCUUUUUUUGUAUAAACUACCUAUUCCAACAAAAAUGUAUUCCUUCUCUCUCAUAUUAUUUGUAUAUGCAUUCUAUAUACGUUUGUGUGUAUUUGAAUGGUCAUGUUGCAUGAUGGAAAUUGUCCUCCUGAGUGACUUAAACCAAGUUGCUUGUCUAGUAGGAUAGCACCAAGUGGCUUAACCAAGUUGCUUGUCCAGUGGGAUAGCACAAAGUGGCUUAACAAAAUUAGCUAGCACCCACAUGUUCAUGCAGUUUGUGCUACCUGACAUAUGAAGGAACCUGUUUUUUCUUCUAUGACAGCCUUUUAUGGGUCUUAAUUGCCAUUAGGAUAGAGGAUAUUAGCCAGGGUUAUAAGAAUUGGCAUUAGUUUAAGAUUUGUCUAUGUUGCGAUUUGUUUGGGAAUCAUCCUAUCCUUUCAUUUCAAUUUGUGUUCAGAUGAAUAUCAUGGCCAUGGAUAUCGUGUACUCCUACAAAUCAGGCCUAACUCAAAUUUGCACUUAAACGUAUUGGGAAAAGUCUUUUGCACCCUAACAUUAUAUUUUGACCUAUUACACCCUUGUAUUUUUAUUUUGGUUUUUGGCCUAUUACACCCUUGUAUUUUUAUUUUGGUUUUUGGCCUAUUACAUAUUUCAAAUUUUAUUUUAUUUUUUUAACUAAUAGGUACGAUUUUUCAGAUCAAAUAUAUUAGUGUGUGUCUGUAU